rnacentral:lncRNA from 1 species
AAUUAGACAGGCAUGGUGACAUGCGCCUGUAGUCCCAGCUACUCAGGAAACUGAGGUGGGAGUAUCGCUUGAGCCCAGGAGGUGGAGGUUGCAGUAAGCCAAGAUUGUGCCACUGCACUCUGGCCUGGGUGACAGAGUGAGACUUUGUCUCAAAAAAAAAAAAAUUACUAAAAACAAAUAAUAAUUACUCACCCAAUGAUUCCAGUUCAGAGUUGUGGGUGGCCAGAGCCUAUCCCAGUGGCUCAGAGCACUAAGUGGGCAUCAACCCUGGAGAGGAUGGUAUCUGGCUGUAGGGCAUGCUCACACCCACACCCUCACUCACUGUGGCACCAUCUAGACACCCCAAUUUACUGGAAGUGCUCAUUUUUGCGAUGUGGGAGGAAACCAGAGUACCUGAUGAAAACCCAUGCAGAACAUGCAAACUCCACACAGACAGUGGCUCAGGUUGGGAACUGAAUUUUUUUUCAUCAAUGUGAUAACAAAAUGACAUCAAAUAAAAUGAUGUUAUUCUAGCACCUAAUAUACACUCUGAGAAAGUCUUGGCCACCCCAGAUCCCCGAGAUCAGCAGCUGGAGAUCUCGGGAUAUAGUUCAGUAUUCCAGCAUCA